CCCUUAGAUGUUCUGGGCCGCACGCGCGCUACACUGAUGAACGCAACGAGACCACCUGUACCGAAAGGCAUGGGUAAACUUGUGAAAGUUCAUCGUGAUGGGGAUAGAUUAUUGCAAUUAUUAAUCUUCAACGAGGAAUUCCUAGUAAGCGCGAGUCAUCAGCUCGCGUUGAUUACGUCCCUGCCCUUUGUACACACCGCCCGUCGCUCCUACCGAUUGAAUGGUCCGGUGAAAUCUUCGGAUUGCUGGAUAGGACUUCAUUGACCUAUCUGCGAGAAGUUACUUGAACCUUAUCAUUUAGAGGAAGGAGAANUCGUAACA
rnacentral:rRNA from 1 species